rnacentral:rRNA from 1 species
AGAGUUUGAUCCUGGCUCAGAACGAACGUUGGCGGCGUGGAUUACGCAUGCAAGUCGAACGAAUCCCUGGGGGCUUGCUCCCAGGGGGAAGUGGCGAAAGGGGCAGUAAGGCGUGGGUAACCUACCCCGGGGACCGGGAUAGCCGCCCUAACGGGCGGGUAAUACCGGGCGACGUGAAGAGUUCGCAUGGGCUUUUCACCAAACGAGUUUCGCCCCGGGAGGGGCUCACGUGGUAUUAGCUGGUUGGUGGGGUAACGGCCCACCAAGGCCAAGAUGCCUAGCAGGUGUGAGAGCACGACCUGCGCCACUGGCACUGCGACACUGGCCAGACUCCUACGGGAGGCUGCAGUCGAGGAUCUUCGGCAAUGGGCGCAAGCCUGACCGAGCGACGCCGCGUGCGCGAUGAAGGCCUUCGGGUUGUAAAGCGCUGUCGAGGGGGAGGAAAGCCCGAAAGGGUCUGACCUAUCCCUGGAGGAAGCACGGGCUAAGUUCGUGCCAGCAACCGCGGUAAGACGAACCGUGCAAACGUUGUUCGGAAUCACUGGGCUUAAAGGGCGCGUAGGCGGCAUGGCAAG